AAUAUCUUGAAAGUGGCGAACGGGUGAGUAACACGUAGGUAACCUGCCUCGGAGUGGGGGAUAACAGUUAGAAAUGACUGCUAAUACCGCAUGAAUCCAUGGAUUAGGGAUAAUCGAUGGAGAAAACUCUGGUGCUUCGAGAGGGGCCUGCGGCCGAUUAGCUAGUUGGUGGGGUAAAGGCCUACCAAGGCGACGAUCGGUAGCUGGUCUGAGAGGACGAUCAGCCACACGGGAACUGAGACACGGUCCCGACUCCUACGGGGGGCAGCAGUGAGGAAUAUUGGGCAAUGGGCGGAAGCCUGACCCAGCAACGCCCGCGUGGAGGAAUGAAGGCCUUCGGGUUGUAAACUCCUUUUGCAGGGGAAGAGGAAGGACGGUACCCUGCGAAUAAGUCACGGCUAACUACGUG
rnacentral:rRNA from 1 species